AAGGCCCAACUGCUGAAUGUGUGACAGUCGGAAUUAUACUUUCAAAACUCAUAAGAUUUGAAUCUAAUCUUUUUUUCGGAGUAACUUUUAACAAUCUAGCAUAUAGAAUUAACUUUUACAAUCUAGCAUAUAUUCUGUAUGAAACUUUAGUUUGAGAACUUUUUUUCUGAAGUUUUUAAGUAUGUUUUGAAAAUCAAUCGGAUAAUGUUGGAUCUAAUAUAACAGAGACAAUUAACAAAGCAUUAGGAUGGGGAAGGAAGACAAUUAAUUAACAAAGCAUUAGAUGUGGGGAAGGAAGACAAUUAACAAAGCAUUAGAUGGGGAUGGAAGACAUUUAACAAAGAAUUAGAAUAUAAAUGGAUUACAAGCUUACCCUAGAUAGAAAGCUUUUUCUCCCAAGUAGUUGAUACUUGAUUCCACUAGACCCUU
rnacentral:lncRNA from 1 species